UGCUAGUUGUGGGUUCCAUUCCACGGAAUCCGUGACGAAGUUAACACAUUAAGCACCCCGCCUGGGGGGUACGGUCGCAAGACUAAAACUCAAAGGAAUUGACGGGGGCCCGCACAAGCGGCGGAGCAUGCGGAUUAAUUCGAUGCAGCGCGAAGAACCUUACCAAGGCUUGACAUAUAGAGGAAACGUUCAGAAAUGAUCACCCCGCAAGGUCUCUAUACAGGUGGUGCAUGGUUGUCGUCAGCUCGUGUCGUGAGAUGUUGGGUUAAGUCCCGCAACGAGCGCAACCCUCGUCCUAUGUUGCCAGCACGUUAUGGUGGGAACUCAUGGGAGACUGCCGGGGUCAACUCGGAGGAAGGUGGGGAUGACGUCAAAUCAUCAUGCCCCUUAUGUCUUGGGCUUCACGCAUGCUACAAUGGCCGGUACAAAGGGCUGCGAUACCGUAAGGUGGAGCGAAUCCCAUAAAGCCGGUCUCAGUUCGGAUUGAGGUCUGCAACUCGACCUCAUGAAGUCGGAGUCGCUAGUAAUCGUAGAUCAGCAACGCUACGGUGAAUACGUUCCCGGGCCUUGUACACACCGCCCGUCAAGUCACGAAAGUCGGUAACACCCGAAGCCGGUGGCCUAACCGUAAGGAAGGAGCCGUCGAAG
rnacentral:rRNA from 1 species